AGCCAUGCGAGUCAUUGUAGUAAUACAAGGCAGACGGCUCAGUAACGCGUAGUCAACCUAACCUAUGGACGGGGAUAAUCUCGGGAAACUGAGCAUAAUACCCGAUAGAACAUUAUGCCUGGAAUGGUUUAUGUUCCAAAUGAUUUAUCGCCGUAGGAUGGGACUGCGGCCUAUCAGUUUGUUGGUGAGGUAAUGGCCCACCAAGACUAUUACAGGUACGGGCUCUGAGAGGAGUAGCCCGGAGAUGGGUACUGAGACACGGACCCAGGCCCUAUGGGGCGCAGCAGGCGAGAAAACUUUGCAAUGUGCGAAAGCACGACAAGGUUAAUCCGAGUGGUUUCUGCUAAAGGAACCUUUUGACAGUCCUAGAAACACUGUUGAAUAAGGGGUGGGCAAGUUCUGGUGUCAGCCGCCGCGGUAAAACCAGCACCUCAAGUGGUCAGGAUGAUUAUUGGGCCUAAAGCAUCCGUAGCCGGCUCUGUAAGUUUUCGGUUAAAUCUGUACGCUCAACGUACAGGCUGCCGGGAAUACUGCAGAGCUAGGGAGUGGGAGAGGUAGACGGUACUCGGUAGGAAGGGGUAAAAUCCUUUGAUCUAUUGAUGACCACCUGUGGCGAAGGCGGUCUACCAGAACACGUCCGACGGUGAGGGAUGAAAGCUGGGGGAGCAAACCGGAUUAGAUACCCGGGUAGUCCCAGCUGUAAACCAUGCAAACUCAGUGAUGCAUUGGCUUGUGGCCAAUGCAGUGCUGCAGGGAAGCCGUUAAGUUUGCCGCCUGGGAAGUACGUACGCAAGUAUGAAACUUAAAGGAAUUGGCGGGG
rnacentral:rRNA from 1 species